rnacentral:rRNA from 1 species
UUCCGGUUGAAUCUGCCGGAGGUUACUGCUAUCAGUGUUCGAUUAAGCCAUGCAAGUCAAAUGUUCUUCGUGAACAUGGCGUACUGCUCAGUAACACGUGGAUAACCUGCCCUUGGGAUUGGCAUAACACCGGGAAACUGGUGAUAAUACCGAAUAGACCAUCAUUGCUGGAAUGCUUUUUGGUCCAAAGGCUUCGGCCGCCCAUGGAUGGAUCUGCGGCCUAUCAGGUAGUAGUGGGUGUAAUGUACCUACUAGCCUACGACGGGUACGGGUUGUGAGAGCAAGAGCCCGGAGAUGGAUUCUGAGACAUGAAUCCAGGCCCUACGGGGUGCAGCAGGCGCGAAAACUUUACAAUGCGGGAAACCGCGAUAAGGGGACACUGAGUGCCAGCAUAUUAUGUUGGCUGUCCACAUGUUUAAAAACCAUGUGUUAGCAAGGGCCGGGCAAGACCGGUGCCAGCCGCCGCGGUAACACCGGCGGCCCGAGUGGUGAUCACUAUUAUUGGGUCUAAAGGGUCCGUAGCCGGUUUGAUCAGUCUUCCGGGAAAUCUGACAGCUCAACUGUUAGGCUUCCGGGAGAUACUGUCAGACUUGGGACCGGGAGAGGUAAGAGGUACUACAGGGGUAGGAGUGAAAUCUUGUAAUCCCUGUGGGACCACCAGUGGCGAAGGCGUCUUACCAGAACGGGUCCGACGGUGAGGGACGAAAGCUGGGGGCACGAACCGGAUUAGAUACCCGGGUAGUCCCAGCCGUAAACGAUGCUCGCUAGGUGUCAGGGACGGUGCGACCGUUUCUGGUGCCGCAGGGAAGCCGUGAAGCGAGCCACCUGGGAAGUACGGCCGCAAGGCUGAAACUUAAAGGAAUUGGCGGGGGAGCACUACAACGGGUGGAGCCUGCGGUUUAAUUGGAUUCAA